rnacentral:lncRNA from 1 species
GGUAAAUAAUUUUUGUAGCAUAAAAACUAAAUAAAUUCAUACAUAUUGUAAUACAAAUAAUUAAAGCAUAAGAUUUAAUUUACAGUGACAUGUGGGCCCAUGAACAACCAAAAGUAUCAAAAGCGAUAAACCUACGGUUUUUGAGGAUGCAAGUCCAACUGUAACCCUUAAUGAAAUGAGCUAUCUACCGACUAUCUUGAGCCUGAAAUUGGUGGAAAUGAGGGUAGUGAGAUUAUAUAAUCCCAAUGAGUAAACAAAUACCAUCUAAAAUAUCUCAAGCUGAGUAAAUGGAGACAGAUUAAAAUAGAUCAUCAUAUUGUAAUUCAUCACCUUUCAACUCAUUUCAACCAAAUAAAAUCAAUUCAUAUAAAUCGAGUAAUCAACAUGGCUUAUGAAUUUCUUAAAACUUUAGCUCGUGCCAAAAUCAUUCUUAUACUUAGUUAUCAGGGAUACAUUGGCCUGAGGCUAUCCCAACCGAGUCCGCCAAGGCUGUUAAAAAGUCAUGUACGCAUAAAUUAUGUUUUUAUUUUGAAAACAUAGUCGUUCCUUGGUGUUGGCUGAGUUCACCCUCACGUGGUGGUUUGGCGUGAAGUGAACUCUAAAGUUGUACCUCAGGAGUUACCCUACACGCCUCUCCGAUCGAGGUAAGAAUAUAACGGGGUUACCAUGCCCCUCAAAUAGGCUAGUCCAUGGAACCCGCCCACUGCAGCAAGCUAAACCCACCAUAGGAUAAAAUUUGCAAUAGCAUGACAUUGCAAUUAUAUCACAAUCCAGCCUCUCAAGGCUAAAUACACAAUUCAUAUAUUUUCAGCACAUUUAUCAAUUCAGCCAUUCAUGCAAAUAUUGUUAUAAGCCAUUCGAUUCAAACCAUGAUUUUACAACACAUGAAAACAGUCUCAAAUUACUUUAUUUCCAAACCAUCAUUUCAUUUCAAGACAAUGUUAUAAAAUCAUUUCAUUAAAUCACAUUUUAAUUACAAAACACAAGGAUUUACCAUUUAACUCAUUUUCCAUAAAAUCAUAAAAUCGGAUAAAAAUCACUUUAAAUAAUUAAGAUGAUAGUAAGGUUACUCACUAUUUCGGGAGUUGAAUUUCGAGUACUCCGAUUCUUGAUCCUUG